AGCGAACGCUGGCGGCAGGCCUAACACAUGCAAGUCGAGCGCCGUAGCAAUACGGAGCGGCAGACGGGAGAGUAACACGUGGGAACGUGCCCUUCAGUUCGGAACAACCCAGGGAAACUUGGGCUAAUACCGGAUACGUCCGUAAGGAGAAAGAUUUAUCGCUGAAGGAUCGGCCCGCGUCUGAUUAGCUAGUUGGUGGGGUAACGGCCCACCAAGGCGACGAUCAGUAGCUGGUCUGAGAGGAUGAUCAGCCUCACUGGGACUGAGACACGGCCCAGACUCCUACGGGAGGCAGCAGUGGGGAAUAUUGGACAAUGGGCGCAAGCCUGAUCCAGCCAUGCCGCGUGGGUGAUGAGGGCCCUAGGGUUGUAAAGCCCUUUCGGCGGGGAAGAUAAUGACGGUACCCGCAGAAGAAGCCCCGGCUAACUUCGUGCCAGCCGCCGCCGUAACAC
rnacentral:rRNA from 1 species